AAGUCGUAACAAGGUUUCCGUAGGUGAACCUGCGGAAGGAUCAUUACCAAUAAAAAUUAUUUAAACCCAUGUGCACUGUGAAUGAAAUGUCUUGGUCUUUGGGGUGGGUCUUAACGGCUCCACCCCAGCCAUUUUGUUUAACUUCGUUUACAAUUAUAUUGGCAUCGUACUUUGUCUUAAUAAAUUAUUAUGACAACUUUUAACGGUGGAUCUCUUGGCUCGU
rnacentral:misc_RNA from 1 species